ACGUCCUUCACACACGAGGCCAUGACCCAGAGCCGGCGCAACCCGCUCAGCAGAGUCUGCAAAGCAGGGAGGCGCUGGCCAAGAGAGGCGCUCUCCCUGCUCUGAGACUCCGCUGCUGUGCGCUGCUGCUGCCGGCUGCCACAGCAACAAGAGGCUCGAGACCAGUCCACCAGCAGAUCUUCCCUCCCUCCUCCUACCAGCAGAACACGCAGGGGGGGGGGAUUCACUCCAUCGUCCGCACAGGCUGGCCACUUUCACUUUCUAUUCCACGUCCUGGCUGCAGCGGCAGCCUGCUUGUGAUUUAUGACAUGAAGCUGUUCUCCGUUCUCCCUGCUCUCCAGCCCUCCCCCUCUACAACAUGCUGAUGCAGGGGCUUGAGUGUGGUCAGAGCAGGCCGAGUUUAACUCUUUGAAACCUGUUUUCUAAUGUAUUGAAGAAUGCUGCUGCUAAGCCUACCAGAAGUAUAUCCAGAGUUAAAGAAAAAAAAAAAUUGGAUAAAAAGACCUUUCCAAACGCCUGCAAAGAAUGAAGGCCGGGAUCAGCAGGUAAGUUGGUCUUUAAGUUCAGAUCAUUUCCCAGGAUGCUGUUAUUCUUAACGCUUUAAUCAGGAGUGUCAAUGGAAAACGGAGUCAUGACCUUUGAAAUAAAGCACAGCGGGGCGUUAGCAGAAGCUGUGAAUACUUUAAGCACUACUGAAAAGUUUCCACGGCUUCACUGUAACAAAGCACCUUGAUAAUUCAAUGAGUGGGAGCUGCGGUUUUGUGAACAUCAUUUGGAAAUUUCUAUAUUAGAACUUGUUUGAACUGCAUUGUGCUGACAAAAGUUAGAAAUGAAAUGUCAUUCCUGCUGCUCUGGAAUUAAACACUCUCUCACACAAUAAGCAGUCUGGAACUCCCGCCGUUAGGGACUUUUAUACUUCAAGCAUACCGCAUGGGACUGUUUAUUUAAAACAAACUAUACAAAAGAAUGACUUAUUGACUAAUCCCAUGUGAUCUUUCAAACCCAUCAACAGAUAUAUUAUUUGGCCUAUAAGUUAUUUUUAAAGCACAUUUAAAGGGCCACUAAAGUUUGCUAUUUCUCUGCAGAAGUGUUUGCCUGGCAGAUUUGUUGUGAUUAUCUAGAACUGAUUCAAAGGGUUUACAACGACAAAAACAUAAAUAUAGUAUAGGGUUGUAAACCAUCGAUGGAUAACAGCCAUUGGUAGAUGAUUUUGCCAUCAAUGGUGGAAAGCCAAUGGUUUCCCACCAUCAAUGGUACUGAGACCCUCAAUGUUUCCCCCCCUGCUUCUUGGCACAGGACACAGAGCUUAGCUCAAUCCCCGACAUGACCCAAGAAACCAGGCUCCCACCUCUGAAUGGCCCACAGGCCAGUGAGUAAUACAGUGAGGAUGACCAUCGGUUGAUGAAACCAUUGAUGGACCAAUAUUUCAUGGUUUGUUACCAUCGAUGGUUCCUUGUAGUCAGUAGCGGAUCUUGCCACGGGCAAGCAGGACUUUUGCCCGGGGCGCCGCCUUCCGGAGGGCGCUGGAGCCAUCCGGAGGGCGCCGCACCAUGGCAAGAUCCGCUGCUGCUGCCAGUGCUGUGCCCCCCGCUGCCCGCUACCGCUGU